rnacentral:rRNA from 1 species
UACGAAGGGGGCUAGCGUUGCUCGGAAUCACUGGGCGUAAAGCGCACGUAGGCGGAUUGUUAAGUCAGGGGUGAAAUCCUGGAGCUCAACUCCAGAACUGCCUUUGAUACUGGCAAUCUCGAGUUCGGGAGAGGUGAGUGGAACUGCGAGUGUAGAGGUGAAAUUCGUAGAUAUUCGCAAGAACACCAGUGGCGAAGGCGGCUCACUGGCCCGAUACUGACGCUGAGGUGCGAAAGCGUGGGGAGCAAACAGGG